GUGGGGAAUAUUGGACAAUGGGCGAAAGCCUGAUCCAGCCAUGCCGCGUGUGUGAAGAAGGUCUUCGGAUUGUAAAGCACUUUAAGUUGGGAGGAAGGGCAGUAACCUAAUACGUUGCUACUUUGACGUUACCAACAGAAUAAGCACCGGCUAACUUCGUGCCAGCAGCCGCGGUAAUACGAAGGGUGCAAGCGUUAAUCGGAAUUACUGGGCGUAAAGCGCGCGUAGGUGGUUCAGUAAGUUGGAAGUGAAAUCCCCGGGCUCAACCUGGGAACUGCUUUCAAAACUGCUGAGCUAGAGUACGGUAGAGGGUGGCGGAAUGUCCUGUGUAGCGGUGAAAUGCGUAGAUAUAGGAAGGAACACCAGUGGCGAAGGCGACUACCUGGACUGAUACUGACACUGAGGUGCGAAAGCGUGGGGAGCAAACAGGAUUAGAAACCCUAGUAGUCC
rnacentral:rRNA from 1 species